AAGCCGGAAGGAACUUGCUGUGCUAGUCGGUUCCAAGAGCUAUGAUAUCUGUCUGUGUUUUAUUUGGUAGGUCUUCUAUCCCUCCAAGGCACAGAAACUUCCACAGUCUUCUCAUUCGCUGGUCCUGAGUAGCUCCAGUUUCCAAGAUCUUCUGGAGAGGGCAUCAUGGCUCUUUGAGGGCACAGAUGGAGGGAGGGCUGAAGGUUGAAAUCGAUGGGGGAAAAGAGUGAAGAGAGUCUUCUUUGGAGUGGGCAGCAAACUCCCUAGCAGAGUGAAUGAAUGCAGGACGCCUCCAGGGUCUACGGGCACUGUCUAAUCACUAAUAAAGAAGUGUGCUGGUGUCAUGGCUGCCAGGCUCAUCGGAUUCUUCCUAUUUCAGGCGGUAUCUUGGGCAUAUGGUGCCCAACCCUGCAUCCCCAAAAGCUUUGGCUACAGCUCAGUGGUCUGUGUCUGUAAUGCAUCGUACUGUGACUCUCUUGACCCCGUGACCUUACCGGCUCUGGGUACCUUCAGCCGUUACGAGAGCACUCGACGUGGACGUCGGAUGGAGCUGAGUGUCGGGGCCAUCCAGGCCAAUCGCACUGGCACAGGGUUACUACUCACUUUGCAGCCAGAAAAGAAGUUCCAGAAAGUGAAAGGAUUUGGAGGCGCCAUGACAGACGCCACUGCGCUCAACAUCCUUGCUUUGUCCCCACCUACUCAGAAGCUGCUACUCAGAUCCUACUUCUCUACCAACGGAAUUGAAUAUAACAUCAUCCGGGUACCCAUGGCCAGUUGUGACUUCUCCAUCCGUGUCUAUACCUAUGCUGACACCCCUAACGACUUCCAGUUAUCCAACUUCAGCCUCCCAGAAGAAGACACCAAGCUCAAGAUACCCCUGAUUCACCAAGCCCUGAAGAUGUCCUCACGCCCCAUUUCACUCUUUGCCAGUCCCUGGACAUCACCCACUUGGCUCAAGACCAAUGGAAGAGUGAAUGGGAAGGGGUCGCUCAAGGGUCAGCCAGGGGAUAUCUUUCACCAGACCUGGGCCAAUUACUUUGUCAAGUUUCUGGAUGCUUAUGCUAAGUAUGGCCUAAGAUUCUGGGCAGUGACAGCGGAGAAUGAACCUACAGCAGGGCUCUUCACGGGGUACCCCUUCCAGUGCCUGGGCUUCACUCCUGAACACCAGAGAGACUUCAUUUCCCGUGACCUAGGGCCAGCCCUUGCCAACAGUUCCCAUGAUGUGAAGCUACUCAUGCUAGAUGACCAACGCUUGCUGCUACCCCGCUGGGCAGAGGUGGGAGGUGUAUGUGUGGGCCUUAUCUGACAAUUCAUCAAGAGCAGCUGAGCUCGGUGCUCUCUGAUCCAGAGGCAGCUAAGUACGUUCAUGGCAUUGCUGUUCACUGGUAUAUGGAUUUCCUGGCUCCAGCCAAAGCUACUUUAGGAGAGACACACCGCUUGUUCCCCAACACAAUGCUCUUUGCUUCGGAGGCCUGCGUGGGCUCCAAGUUCUGGGAACAGAGUGUUCGGUUGGGCUCCUGGGAUCGAGGGAUGCAGUACAGUCACAGCAUCAUUACGAACCUCCUUUACCACGUAACUGGAUGGACGGACUGGAACCUUGCCCUGAAUCCUGAAGGAGGGCCCAACUGGGUCCGCAACUUUGUCGAUAGCCCCAUUAUUGUCGACAUCCCCAAAGACGCAUUUUACAAACAGCCCAUGUUCUACCAUCUUGGCCACUUCAGCAAGUUCAUUCCCGAGGGAUCCCAGAGAGUGGCGUUGGUGGCCAGUGAGAGCACUGACUUGGAAACAGUAGCACUGUUACGCCCUGACGGCUCUGCAGUUGUGGUCGUGUUAAACCGAUCUUCGGAGGAUGUCCCUCUUACCAUCAGUGAUCCUGACCUGGGCUUCCUGGAGACCGUGUCACCUGGCUACUCCAUUCACACUUACCUGUGGCGUCGCCAGUGAUGGAACUGACACCUGAGCAGGCACCUGGGCUUAGCAUGGACAUUAAAGGGAAAGAGUUCGCUCCUGUGCUAUCUGUGACUAAAGGAGGCACGGCAGGGCCUGGGGGACCUUACAGUGACACGGGGCAGGGCCAAGGGUUCGGAUGUCUCAUUCUCCUUUCUAGUAUGUGCUGUGUAUGGGAGGGAAGCCCUAGAGUCCCUCCAGCUUCCCAGGGUUGUAAAGUGUGUGCUGUGCACUGGUUGCCUGUGGAAGCUGUGCCUACGUCCAGGGUGAGUUCACCGUCUUAAGAAGCACAAGAUGGGGAUGCCUAGGCAAGCUGGACCUGUGUGGAGGAGCAAGGCAGUCAGUCUAAGGGUGAAGCAGCUUAAAACCCGAGGGUCAGAGGGCAGACCUGACCUCUGCAUCCUCAUUGUGGCAUCUAAGAAUGGCAGCAGCCACAGAAAGAAGGGAUUCUUUGAUCCCAGUUAGUGUAAACAGGUUUAUUCUGAGGACAGCGCCCCAUUUUUGGCUGCUCCAACCAUGGGGAGACGAGGGACAGCUGGAAUGCACGAGUAGAAAAGUCAGUCCUGGGAACAGGAACGCCAUCAGUCCUCUUCAUCCUCCUCAGCCAGGCCCAAGGCCCGGGUGCCUGGGGCCCGAGCAGGGCUUGUCCGCUGGAUAGAAACGAUGCCACUGAGCAGGGCAUAGCCCACCAUGGCUGCCAGCCCUGCCAGCACAGAGAGAAUCUGGGUCCGGCGCCGGUAUGGCUCCUCCUCGGUCUCAGGGGCUGCUGGUGUCUGGCGUGGAAGUGGCACCUCAUCUAGGAGGUGAGGAAGGGAGGUGAGCAGGAAGCCAGGCCCCGGCGGACCCCAGCCCGUUCUCUUCUCUCCCACUGCUCCUCACCUCCAUCCCGGGGAAAGUAGAGGUUGAGGAUGUGGGUGCAGUAGGCGCAGAGGUUGUGCAGCCCCCGAAGGUGGGCCUGCAGCUUCCCACUGGGCAGCUUGGCCUGCAGCAGCAGGGCCAAAUGGCUAAAAACAAAGGCGUCCAGGGAGGCAGGGCUAGAGAGAGAGAGAGAGAGAGAAGGGUGGAAUGGAAGUGGACAACUGCAGAGAGGACAACAUGAAGCAAGAGGAAAAAGUCUGCUUCAGAGGGGUAGGCUCUGGGCAGCAGGGGUCAUCCAAGGAAGAGCAGGACACCUAGCUCUGCAUUUGGUAAGGGGAGUUCCCCAGGUGGCGCCAGCCUGGCCCUGAAUGGAGCUCUAUCCCAGGGCAGUAUAAUGGACACAUUGAGUGGCGCCCAGCCCAGCAGUCUCCUCCUGUGCCUGGCUCCUCUCCCAUCCCACCCUCCUGUACCACCAAGGAGGUUCUAGCCACACGCACAGCGCCCCGUCACCAGAGGCAGUGUCUGUCCUAAGAACCCCUUGUUCCCACCUCAGCCCAGGCUUUGACACCUGAACCCGUAUCUUCUUCCAACAUCCAUUUAUUCCCCCUUGGAGUCAGACUCACGCAUCCCCAAAGAAGAACUUCUGAGAGCCCAGACGCUGAGAGAGAAGGGUUAGGCACUCCCGAGCCUCUUGGUAUAGCUGGAGGAAGGGACACGAAGCAUGUGGUUGUGGGAGCUGUGACACUUCCCACUGUAGAUUCUCAUUCCUAGCCCCAAGUUACCUCUUUUUCUAGUUCCUCCUCGUUCUCUGAUUUGUGCUCGCCACACAGCAGCUGUAGCCGCUCCAUGUACUGGCGCUGCAUGCGGCCGGGCAGGAAGAAGUUGAGGGGAAAGGGCAUAGCCUCUGCAUACCACUUUCGGGUCACUUCCACAUAGUUCUUGGCGUCUAUCCAAAAAGUAUGGAUCUGGAUUGGGCAGACAGGAAGAGAAAGCCUGAGCCCGUGCACCUGCCUGUCACGGGGUGGGCUUCUAAGUCUCAUGGCUCUGUAGCUCUGCUCCCUUCUGUGCGGGCUGGGACUGCUAGGUCUGAGCGUACUCACUAGCACAGGCAGUAGUUUCUCCUCCAGCAGAGACAUGAAGGCUAGGGUAUCUGCUCCUUGGCGAGCUGACAGAUCGUAGUCGGCAUUAUACUUCUGUGGAAGAAAUGUUCAUGGGGUGAAUAUUGAAGGAUUGCAGGGACACUUAUUUUUUCAGUAGAGAAGGAACAGUAACCCCACACUAGCCUCAAGCAUAGUAGAGGUAGAAGAAGGAGUCUUUCCUGCUGAGGUCUCCUUGCCUCAGCUCAGUGAGUAGCCUGUUGCUGUUGGCAGAAAGCCUGGGCUUUGGAGCCCACUGGCUGUCAAGGUCCUGCACCCACUGCGGGGAGGGAAGAAGGCCUGGCCACAAAGUGGGAGCAGCUCCCGGACUUUCCACGGAAAGCUGGCGGGGUGCCUGCCGACAGCAGCUCUCUAACAGUAACUUCCUGAUCUAGACACCACACCACAGAGCUAGCAACGAGGCACUCGGCUGCAGGCUGGGCCUCAGAAGUCAGGGGGCACCAUCCUUACCCUUCUUGAACCCAGUCAAUUUACAUCCAGCCACCCCAACCCCAGCUUGUCCCCCACAGCAAGCUCUUGGCUAUGUCUUGCACUUCACUCCAAACCCUUGUGCACCACUACUGUACCUUCAUCGCACCGGUAUUUCCGUCUUGUCUUAGUGUGGCCCACCUUUCCAGGCUUCAGGCUGUUCCUUAGUACCCCCUCCACAGACUAAGAAAGCUUUGAACCUGCAGAGCCUCUUGAAGAUGACUCUUAAAUUUCCCUGAAUCUCAGUUUCUCCUUUAUGGAAGGAGACAGUAAUGUUUUUCUCUCGAUGUGGCUGGGUUUGGAAAUAAUUUAGGAAAAAACCCUUUGGAAACUGAAAAGGCUGUGUUUAUAUGCAAGUAACCCGGGUCCUGCCAGGAACGCUGGCUUAUAUCUGGAUCCGGUUUCUCCAGGCCGCUAAGCUUCCAUUACUUCCCCAGCUCCCUGGAAAGUAGAAAUGAGAAAGGGGAUUCUAUUUCUGACUGUGUGUUCCCUCUUGGAACAACGCUAUGAAUGCCAGGCCUCUGAGAGCAUCCUGCCUAAGCACCCUAGUUUACAAGUAAGGAACUGUAGUUGGUGAGCUGCCUUAGCAGGUAACUGUCCUUGCUGUCAGGCUCAAUGACAAGAGUUGCAUUGCAGGAGGCCACAUAGCAGAAGGAAAGGACUUAGUCUACCAAGCUGUCCAAGGACCUCCCCAAGUGUGCCACGGCAUGUGCUCACACACACACACACACCCCAAAGCAAGAGAAAUAAAUGCUUACAAAACAAAUAGUUCAUUACUUUGAGAAGUUAAAUCACCUGUCCAACGUCAUAGUCAAUGACAGAAUAACAGAGCCAAGGCCUCUACUCUCUCGUAAUUCUUAAUCAUCCAAACCUGGCACGAAGCUUUGUCCAUCCUGAGUCCUGUAUCUAGCAUAACUUAGCACUUGAGAAGAGAAAUAGUCCUUAGAAAUCUUUGUGGUUUUUUUCUCUCUCUCUCUCUCCCCCGACUUUUACUCCUUUCUUUGACAGUUCUGGCCUGGAACUCACUCUAUAGAGCAGGCUGACUUUCAACUACAGAGAUCUGCCUGCCUCUGCCUUCUAGGUGUUCAGAUUAAAGAUGUGUGCCACCACUGCCCAGUGACUUUUUUCUUUUUUGAGAGGGGUUCUUAUGUCUUCCAGGCUGGCCCCAAACACACUAUGUAGCCAAAGAUGAUUUUAAAUUUCUGAUCAUCCCACUUCUACCAAGUGCUGGGAUUAUAUGCGUGUACCACCAUGACGGUUUAUAUUAGAAAUUCCUUUCAGGUCUACCCGGAAACCAACUGCUGUUCUCUACUCUUCUUUAUUUUCCAUGUGUCAUCAGCCUGUGUAUUUCUCUUCCUCCCUGCCCAUUUGAUUUCUCCGCUUAUCCCACCCCACAGCCCCUUAAGUUCACUAUCUGGCCAACUGCUUGUCACAGUCACACUGCAUCCCCCAUGCUGCUCCUCCCUGCUCUGGAUCACACUGCUCUUGCCUGGCCUGUGUCUGGUGGCCAAUAAAUAAGUUACACUUCA